rnacentral:rRNA from 1 species
ACAGAGGUCUCGAGCGUUAAUCGGAGUCACUGGGCUUAAAGGGUGCGUAGGCGGAUCCGCAAGUGCUUUGUGAAAUCCCAUGGCUUAACCAUGGAAUGGCUUGGCAUACUGCGGGUCUUGAGGUCGGUAGAGGCUGCUGGAACUCUAGGUGGAGCGGUGAAAUGCGUAGAUAUCUAGAGGAACGCCGAUGGUGAAGACAGGCAGCUGGGCCGAUUCUGACGCUGAGGCACGAAAGCGUGGGGAGCGAACGG